AACGAACGCUGGCGCCGGGCCUAACACAUGCAAGUCGAGCGCCCCGCAAGGGGAGCGGCAGCCGGGUGAGUAACGCGUGGGAAUCUACCCAUCUCUACGGAAUAACGCAUGGAAACGUGUGCUAAUACCGUAGACGUCCUUCGGGAGCAAGAUUUAUCGGGGGUGGAUGAGCCGGCGUUGGAUUAGCUAGUUGGUGGGGUAAAGGACUCCCAAGGCGACGAUACAUGGCUGGUCUGAGAGGCUGAUCAGCCACACUGGGAUUGAGACACGGCCCAGGCUCCUACGGGGGGCAGCAGUGGGGAAGAUUGGAUAAUGGGCGCAAGCCUGUUCCAGCCAUGCCGCGUGAGUGAUGAAGGCCCUAGAGUUGUAAAGCUCUUUCACCGGUGAAGAUAAUGACGGUAACCGGAGAAGAAGCCCCGGCUAACUUCGUGCCAGCCGCCGCCGUAAGAC
rnacentral:rRNA from 1 species